rnacentral:lncRNA from 12 species
UGACUGAGCUGCUGGUUGGCAGCACUUUGGAGGAGAGUCUGCUCUGGGCUGAGGCCAUUGUGCCAUCUGAGCAAGGAGGGUGGUUUUGGCAACACAAACACUGCUUGGCUUUGUACUAAGCACUGCCCAGCCCAGGGCACUGAACAGCAAGGAGCAGCACGACAGAGACAGUGAGUAGUGUGACCUACAAAGCACUGAGGAUU